UUUCUGCCCAGGUCCUGUUUUGGGUCCAAGUUUAUACUGCCCAGUUCGUUUCAGUGCCACAUACCAACUGGAGUAUUUCCUUGACCGGUUUAAGGUCAGGAGUCGAAAAGUAAAGAGUGAAAGGAAAAGUCAAGGUCAGCACUGAGCUUCAUGGGCUAAUUUCCCAGAAAUAGACCUAAACCACAUCAGUCAGUUAUCCUCAGGACGUUGAGGUUACUUGUACCUUUUUACACAGAGGGGAGAGAAGGAAAUUGUGCAUCUGUGCUGAACAUUCAGACAUGUUAGUUUACUAAACAGCUGAUGUGCACUUGAAAACAAACUGCAUUUUUUAAUGGGUAGUAGAGCCAAAAUUCAGUCUCAAUAAAAGCAUGCAUCUAACAUCCCAUUUUAAGCAAUUUUCAGUUCUCUCCAUCCUAAGUUUACAAAUCAUCUUCAUUGGUUGUGAUGUCAAUAAUCCUGUUAAAAACUGAUGCAGUGUAAUUUUUUUAAGCUUUAUAAACAUAUUCACAGAGCUUUUUUCCUAUACUCAGUGUUUAACUGCUCACCAUUUCAAACUUAAGAGAAAAGGAGAUCUUCAGAGGACAUCACAGAGGAAGUGGGCACUGGGAUACAUCAGUGAACAAAACUGAACAAAGAUCCCCGCCUUGGUGCUGGUCAGAUUCUCACUGGGGGAGACACAAAAUAAGCAUACCAUGAUUUUGCAGUUUUGGCUUAUGAGAGAGUUUGCUCAACAUGAGUCCAAGAAUGCUUUUGCUUACACCACUUCUGAGAAUUAAAAACACAUGAUGUGUAAGUAUCAGUGUUGACUAUUUCAAAACACACUAAGACACAAAUUGUAAAAAGUUAAAAGUAAAUGUAAUCUUAAUACUGUAAUAUAUAUAUGUAGCUUAUGUGAAAUUUUAUAAGAUUGGAUUCUAAAAGAAGCAAUAAUUCUUAUUAAGCGGUAACCUUUACAUUUAAUCUAGUAUUUUAUCUCUUAAAAAUGAUAUUCUUCUUUACUGCAUUCUUCUGACAAAUUUAAUCAGUAUAUAUCGCCAUUCUGUAUAAGUGAACCCUCAAAAAUCUCUUUUCUCUACUUUAAAUUUCAUUUCAUUGUA